AAAUUGAAGAGUUUGAUCAUGGCUCAGAUUGAACGCUGGCGGCAGGCCUAACACAUGCAAGUCGAACGGUAGCACAGAGAGCUUGCUCUCGGGUGACGAGUGGCGGACGGGUGAGUAAUGUCUGGGAAACUGCCUGAUGGAGGGGGAUAACUACUGGAAACGGUGGCUAAUACCGCAUAACGUCGCAAGACCAAAGAGGGGGACCUUCGGGCCUCUUGCCAUCAGAUGUGCCCAGAUGGGAUUAGCUAGUUGGUGAGGUAACGGCUCACCAAGGCGACGAUCCCUAGCUGGUCUGAGAGGAUGACCAGCCACACUGGAACUGAGACACGGUCCAGACUCCUACGGGAGGCAG
rnacentral:rRNA from 1 species